GCACUGCAUUUGAGCCUCCCGUAUGCCUGCGGAAUUCCCCGGGGGUAUGGGGUUGGGGGUGAUGUGUCAGGCUGCAACACCAGAGCAUUGGCUUGAGCAUAACUGGGGCUGCCAGCUCCCCUCACUGGCAGCUCUUGUAACCACAAGCAACUCCC